rnacentral:tRNA from 1 species
GCGCGGGUGGCGGAAUUGGUAGACGCACUGGAUUUAGGUUCCAGCGCCGCAAGGUGUGCGGGUUCGAGUCCCGCCUCGCGCACCA